UAGGGAAUCUUCGGCAAUGGACGAAAGUCUGACCGAGCAACGCCGCGUGAGUGAAGAAGGUUUUCGGAUCGUAAAACUCUGUUGUUAGAGAAGAACAAGGACGUUAGUAACUGAACGUCCCCUGACGGUAUCUAACCAGAAAGCCACGGCUAACUACGUGCCAGCAGCCGCGGUAAUACGUAGGUGGCAAGCGUUGUCCGGAUUUAUUGGGCGUAAAGCGAGCGCAGGCGGUUUCUUAAGUCUGAUGUGAAAGCCCCCGGCUCAACCGGGGAGGGUCAUUGGAAACUGGGAGACUUGAUUGCAGAAGAGGAGAGUGGAUUUCCAUGUGUAGCAGUGAAAUGCGUAGAUAUAUGGAGGAACACCAGUGGCGAAGUCGGCUCUCUGGUCUGUCACUGACGCUGAGGCUCGAAAGCGUGGGGAGCAAACAGG
rnacentral:rRNA from 1 species